ACUGAAACUCAUGUCUCAAAUCCGUCUUGUGUUCUUGACCAAUGAACUCACCAACAUUCUCAAUAUCCCCCCCAACAGAUCAAAGCUGCACAGAGCCGAACAAAGCCCAUGUUGUCGUCUCCAUGGAAACGGUGCAGCAGGUCCGCAGGAGUUGGGUCGUCACACUGAGAUAUUACAGAUCUGCGAUCAUCACCUGGAAAAUGCUGGCACCGUACGGAGUCCUCCACGCGUUCAGCAGGUUGUCCUUCCCCGUGCUCACGAACCAUUUACCUACAGGCACAGAGGAGACGCCUUUAACACACACUGCAGGAAAUGCAAAUUGUCCAGGCUGUACCUGUGAGGUAAAGUCGUGUUGCUGAAGCUGCCGGCCCUCCCUCAAAUCCCAGGAGCGG